rnacentral:rRNA from 1 species
ACCUGCGGAGGAUCAUUACCGAGAUAGGGGUCCUCUGGCCCCGAACCUCCAACCCUUGCAUACUUAUCUUUGUUGCUUUGGCGGGCCGUGAGGUCCCCGGACCUUCCGUCGACCCUCGGUGGAUGUGCGCCCGUCAAAAGACCCCUAAAACUCGUUUAAUUAGUGAAGUCCGAGUAUGAUAAAAUCGUUAAAACUUUCAACAACGGAUCUCUUGGUUCUGGCAUCGAUGAAGAACGCAGCGAAAUGCGAUAAGUAAUGUGAAUUGCAGAAUUCAGUGAGUCAUCGAAUCUUUGAACGCACAUUGCGCCCUCUGGUAUUCCGGGGGGCAUGCCUGUUCGAGCGUCAUUACACCCCUCAAGCACUGCUUGGUAUUGGGCGACCGUCCCCCGGGGCGCGCCCGAAAGUCAGCGGCGACGCGGUCGGUCUUCGUGCGUAGUAAAACUUUGUUUCGCAUUUGCAGCCCGGGCGUGUCCGCCGGAUAACCCACUAUUUUUCAAUGGUUGACCUCGGAUCAGGUAGGGAUACCCGCUGAACUUAAGCAUAUCAAUAAGCGGAGGAAAAGAAACCAACAGGGAUUGCCUCAGUAACGGCGAGUGAAGCGGCAACAGCUCAAAUUU